rnacentral:tRNA from 1 species
GGAGAGGUGGCCGAAUGGUAAAGGCGCUUCUCUGCUAAAGAAGUUGGGAGCGAUCCCUUGCAGGUAACUCCUAUGUCCUUCGGAGACGCUUCGCGAACAAGUCCUGUCCUCUCCG